AGAGUUUGAUCCUGGCUCAGGAUGAACGCUAGCGACAGGCCUAACACAUGCAAGUCGAGGGGCAGCACAUGAGUAGCAAUACGAUGGUGGCGACCGGCGCACGGGUGAGUAACACGUAUGCAACCUGCCUUCUACUAUGGGAUAACCCGUUGAAAGACGGACUAAUACCGUAUAAUACAGGGGCUCCGCAUGGAGAUAUUUGUUAAAGAUUUAUUGGUAGAAGAUGGGCAUGCGUAUGAUUAGAUAGUUGGCGGGGUAACGGCCCACCAAGUCUACGAUGGAUAGGGGUUCUGAGAGGAAGGUCCCCCACAUUGGAACUGAGACACGGUCCAAACUCCUACGGGAGGCAGCAGUGAGGAAUAUUGGUCAAUGGACGAGAGUCUGAACCAGCCAAGUAGCGUGAAGGAUGACUGCCCUAUGGGUUGUAAACUUCUUUUAUAAGGGAAUAAAGUGAGGGACGUGUCCCUUUUUGUAUGUACCUUAUGAAUAAGGAUCGGCUAACUCCGUGCCAGCAGCCGCGGUAAUACGGAGGAUCCGAGCGUUAUCCGGAUUUAUUGGGUUUAAAGGGUGCGUAGCGGACUGAUAAGUCAGCGGUGAAACUCCGGAGCUUAAACUCCGGACCUGCCGUUGAAACUGUGAGUCUAGAGAGAAGACGAGGUAGGCGGAAUUCGUAGUGUAGCGGUGAAAUGCAUAGAUAUUACGAAGAACUCCGAUAGCGCAGGCAGCUUACCAGACUUCCACUGACGCUGAAGCACGAAAGUGUGGGUAUCAAACAGGAUUAGAUACCCUGGUAGUCCACACAGUAAACGAUGAUUACUCGCUGUUUGCGAUACACAGCAAGCGGCCAAGCGAAAGCGUUAAGUAAUCCACCUGGGGAGUACGCCGGCAACGGUGAAACUCAAAGGAAUUGACGGGGGCCCGCACAAGCGGUGGAGCAUGUGGUUUAAUUCGACGCAACGCGAAGAACCUUACCUGGGCUUGACAUCUGCGGAACCUUGUGGAAACACGAGGGUGCCUUCGGGAGCCGCAAGACAGGUGCUGCAUGGCUGUCGUCAGCUCGUGUCGUGAGAUGUUGGGUUAAGUCCCGCAACGAGCGCAACCCCUAUCCUUAGUUGCCAUCAUUCAGUUGGGCACUCUAAGGAGACUGCCGGUGUCAAACCGGAGGAAGGUGGGGAUGACGUCAAGUCCUCAUGGCCCUUAUGUCCAGGGCUACACACGUGCUACAAUGGUCGGUACAAAGGGUUGCGAUACCGUGAGGUGGAGCUAAUCCCAUAAAGCCGGUCUCAGUUCGGAUUGGAGUCUGCAACUCGACUUCAUGAAGUUGGAAUCGCUAGUAAUCGCGGAUCAGCAUGCCGCGGUGAA
rnacentral:rRNA from 1 species